rnacentral:rRNA from 1 species
UACAGAGGGUGCAAGCGUUAAUCGGAAUUACUGGGCGUAAAGCGCACGUAGGCGGUUUUUUAAGUCAGAUGUGAAAGCCCCGGGCUCAACCUGGGAAUGGCAUUUGAAACUGGGAAACUAGAGUGUGUGAGAGGGGGGUAGAAUUCCAAGUGUAGCGGUGAAAUGCGUAGAGAUUUGGAGGAAUACCAGUGGCGAAGGCGGCCCCCUGGCACAACACUGACGCUCAGGUGCGAAAGCGUGGGGAGCAAACAGG